AGAGUUUGAUCCUGGCUCAGGACGAACGCUGGCGGCGUGCUUAACACAUGCAAGUCGAACGGAGAACUUAUUUCGGUAAGUUCUUAGUGGCGAACGGGUGAGUAACGCGUGGGCAACCUGCCCUCCAGUUGGGGACAACAUUCCGAAAGGGAUGCUAAUACCGAAUGUGCUCCCUCCUCCGCAUGGAGGAGGGAGGAAAGAUGGCCUCUGCUUGCAAGCUAUCGCUGGAAGAUGGGCCCGCGUCUGAUUAGCUAGUUGGUGGGGUAACGGCUCACCAAGGCGAUGAUCAGUAGCCGGUCUGAGAGGAUGAACGGCCACAUUGGGACUGAGACACGGCCCAAACUCCUACGGGAGGCAGCAGUGGGGAAUCUUCCGCAAUGGACGAAAGUCUGACGGAGCAACGCCGCGUGAGUGAUGAAGGUCUUCGGAUUGUAAAACUCUGUUGUUAGGGACGAAAGCACCGUGUUCGAACAGGUCAUGGUGUUGACGGUACCUAACGAGGAAGCCACGGCUAACUACGUGCCAGCAGCCGCGGUAAUACGUAGGUGGCAAGCGUUGUCCGGAAUUAUUGGGCGUAAAGAGCAUGUAGGCGGGCUUUUAAGUCUGACGUGAAAAUGCGGGGCUUAACCCCGUAUGGCGUUGGAUACUGGAAGUCUUGAGUGCAGGAGAGGAAAGGGGAAUUCCCAGUGUAGCGGUGAAAUGCGUAGAUAUUGGGAGGAACACCAGUGGCGAAGGCGCCUUUCUGGACUGUGUCUGACGCUGAGAUGCGAAAGCCAGGGUAGCAAACGGGAUUAGAUACCCCGGUAGUCCUGGCCGUAAACGAUGGAUACUAGGUGUAGGAGGUAUCGACCCCUUCUGUGCCGGAGUUAACGCAAUAAGUAUCCCGCCUGGGGACUACGAUCGCAAGAUUGAAACUCAAAGGAAUUGACGGGGGCCCGCACAAGCGGUGGAGUAUGUG
rnacentral:rRNA from 1 species